UACGAGGGGGGCAAGCGUUGUUCGGAAUUAUUGGGCGUAAAGGGCGCGUAGGCGGUGCGGUAAGUCACCUGUGAAAACUCUGGGCUCAACUCAGAGCCUGCAGGCGAAACUGCCGUGCUUGAGUGUGGGAGAGGUGCGUGGAAUUCCUGGUGUAGCGGUGAAAUGCGCAGAUAGUCAGGAAGAACACCAAUGGCGAAGGCAGCUCUCUGGGACGGUACUGACACUGAGACGCGAAAGCGUGGGGAGCGAACAGG
rnacentral:rRNA from 1 species